rnacentral:tRNA from 1 species
CGCGAGGUAACCAAGCGGCAAGGUGCGGCUCUGCAAAAGCUGAUUCGCCGGUUCAACUCCGGCCCUCGCGUCCA